rnacentral:rRNA from 1 species
CCUACGGGGGGCUGCAGUGAGGAAUAUUGGUCAAUGGACGCAAGUCUGAACCAGCCACGUCGCGUGAAGGACGACGGCCCUACGGGUUGUAAACUUCUUUUACACGGGAAUAAAGUGCCCCACGUGUGGGGUUUUGCAUGUACCGUGUGAAUAAGGAUCGGCUAACUCCGUGCCAGCAGCCGCGGUAAUACGGAGGAUCCGAGCGUUAUCCGGAUUUAUUGGGUUUAAAGGGUGCUCAGGCGGGCUGUUAAGUCGGCGGUGAAAUUUUGCGGCUCAACCGUAAAAGUGCCUUCGAAACUGGCGGCCUUGAGUGUGGAUGGGGCAGGCGGAAUUUGUGGUGUAGCGGUGAAAUGCAUAGAUAUCACAAGGAACUCCGAUCGCGAAGGCAGCUUGCCAAGCCAUAACUGACGCUCAAGCACGAAGGCGUGGGGAUCAAACAGGAUUAGAUACCCCUGUAGUC